ensembl:lncRNA
CUGGAGUACCCUGGAUUGCAAGCAGCUGCUAGGAGGGCAAACUUUGCACGUAGUCGUGUGACUCCGCUGCAAAGACAUGGCGACGGGCGGCCAGCGAGGCGAUGGGCAGCCCGAAGCAGCUGUGGCGUCGAACAUGUGAAAGCUAAAGACAGGGACAUUCGGGCAUGGAAGGAAGGGCCAAGCAGGUCUCAGAGCACAGCUCCAGCUGUGUUUUUCCUCCCUGUUUGAGAAGAUUCGGGACUGCCUUCAUAGAAAAGCAUCAUCAGCUGGAUUCAGAAUAAAGGGAACUAACUCAUGGACAGAUUGGGGCUGCAAAGAGAUCCCCAGAAGACAUGGAGAGCCUUACCUGGACUGCAUACACCGGCAUUACAGUGUAGAAUGGAAGACAGCAUUUUACAGAUUAUCAAUAAGAUGCAGCAUAUUUGUGGUUUAUCAGUACCAAAAGUGUAAGAAGAUGAUGGGACUGUGAUAAGAACUGAAGAUGUAUUUGAUCAGAAAAAAAUUAUGAAGAUUUUAGAGCUUACAAAGAAAAUGCAAUGCUUUUCUUGGCCCUAUCCACUGAACUGUUUCCCAUAAGAAAACUUCUGCAGCCACAAUGAACUCCACAAGCAUCAGUUGUCUGUGCAUGUUCAAAAAUGUGAGCAUCUUGGCAGAAUGGUGUCCAUUUGAACUCAAGGAUGCGUACAGCUUUUCAAACCAGAGCAGCACCAAAUGGGAGAAGAGCGUGUUACGUAUUUUUGUGUGCACCUAACUGAAACUUUGGUUUAUACUUGUAUCUAGGCCAAGCACAAGAGAAACAUGCCUAUCUUACCUGUUGUGUGCUGUAUUAGUGUGGUCACUGUACUGCAAAUGACCAACUUUUCUUUUCAAUAUUAUCCCUAUAUUCAGUCAUAAUAAAUAAAUAAAUAAACGUUUUGCCACAUCUUCUACUCAAAUUCAUGCAAUAUCUGUGUAUAUAUAAUAUCUGUAUGAUCCAGCUUAAGUUAAUCAGAGUAUAUACAUUAGUGUAUACACUGGUAUGUAUUACGAUUUAUAAUAAACAUCUUUAUAAAUGCGCUGUUGGCCUCUGUAUUUAAUAAAGGCAUGAAAAUACCAAAGUUUGCCUUUUUUUUUUCUCAGUGUUCUGAUCUAGAUAAUUAUGUGACAUUGCAUAUCACCAGCAGAGCACUUCAUAAAUGGCCAGAAUUCAGCCAAAUGGAC